rnacentral:rRNA from 1 species
UCUGAACCGCCUCUAAGUCAGAAUCCGUGCUGGAAGUGACGAUGUUUUGGUCCCGCACAUGUAAAUGGAGUUGAGAUAGAGCUUUGCUCGUGAACCAAAUCAGGUGGGCUAGGCUCGUCGGACGGAAACGUCUGGCGGGUUCGUCUACGAAUUGCAAUCAUGAUAUGCGCGGGGGUGAAUCCUUUGCAGACGACUUGAAUGGGAACGGGGUACUGUAAGCGGUAGAGUAGCCUUGUUGCUACGAUCCGCUGAGGUUAAGCCCUUGUUCUAUAGAUUUGU